rnacentral:rRNA from 1 species
GAGAACUUGCUGAGUCGGUUGGACCUCCAUGAGGAUGAAGAGGAGAAUUUUGUUUGGGGGGAAGAAUUCAAGGACGAAGUGGUAGAGACCAAGUGGCUUGCAAUUGCAAAGGCACACGCUUCAGAAAGCUUUAGUCCUUCAGCUUUGUACUCAGACAAGAGAUCAGCUUGAAACCCUGCCAGAGAGGUCCGCUGGCGUAAGAUCAAUGACAACUUGUUCACGAUCCAAUUCAGAUGUCUUGGAGAUUGGAUCUUGACUGAUGGUUUGUGCAGUAUUUCUAUGAACGUUCUUGUUGGGUACAUGUUUUUUUGA